CCAAUUUGAGUUUCAAACUUGGGUCAGUGUUUCCAAUUAAGGUUUCAAACUCGGGUCAGGGUUUCCAAUUAGGGUAUCAAACUAGGGUUAGGGUUUCCAAUUAGGGUUUCAAACUAGGGUUAGGGUUUCUAAUUAGGGUUUCCAAUUAGGGUUAGGGUUUCCAAUUAGGGUUUCAAACUAGGGUCAGGUUUCCAAUUAGGGUUUCAAACUAGGGUUAGGGUUUCUAAUUAGGGUUUCCAAUUAGGGUUAGGGUUUCCAAUUAGGGUUUCAAACUAGGGUCAGGUUUCCAAUUAGGGUUUCAAACUAGGGUUAGGGUUUCUAAUUAGGGUUUCCAAUUAGGGUCAGGUUUCCAAUUAGGGUUUCAAACUAGGGUCAGGGUUUUCAGUUUGAGUUUCAAACUUGGGUUAGGGUUUCUGAAGUUUGACAUCUGUGGCUUCGAGCGUUUCAAAAGUGAUCCGUACGAACGACAAACGUGUCAGAUCCGAAUGCUCUAAAUUGGCUGGCAUUGAAAGUGUGUCCACAGCACUAUUUUUUUUUUAAUUCUUUUUUUUAUCGUUGUGCUCCUUU